rnacentral:rRNA from 1 species
CAAUAGCGUAUAUUUAAGUUGUUGCAGUUAAAAAGCUCGUAGUUGGAUUUCGGAUGGGAUUUGCCGGUCCGUCGUUACGAUGUGCACUGGCCAGUCCUAUCUUGUUGUCGGGGACUAGCUCCUUGGAUUCACUUCCUGGGACUAGGAGCUGACGAGGUUACUUUGAGUAAAUUAGAGUGUUCAAAGCAAGCCUACGCUCUGAAUACAUUAGCAUGGAAUAACACAAUAGGACUCUGGCUUAUCUUGUUGGUCUGUGAGACCAGAGUAAUGAUUAAGAGGGACAGUCGGGGACAUUCGUAUUUCAUUGUCAGAGGUGAAAUUCUUGGAUUUAUGAAAGACGAACUUCUGCGAAAGCAUUUGUCAAGGAUGUUUUCAUUAA